CCAAUAGCGUAUAUUAAAGUUGUUGCAGUUAAAAAGCUCGUAGUUGAAUUUCGAGAUCAAUUUUCUUGGUCAUACCUUUGUAUGUACUGGUCUUAUUGAUUUCUCCCUUCUGAUGAACCAUGAUGUCAUUAAUUUGGUGUUAUGGGGAACCAGGACUAUUACUUUGAAAAAAUUAGAGUGUUUAAAGCAGGCUAACGCUUGAAUACAUUAGCAUGGAAUAAUGAAAUAGGACGUUUGAUUCUAUUUUGUUGGUUUCUAGGAUUGACGUAAUGAUUAAUAGGGAUAGUUGGGGGCAUUAGUAUUCAAUUGUCAGAGGUGAAAUUCUUGGAUUUAUUGAAGACUAACUACUGCGAAAGCAUUUGCCAAAGAUGUUUUCAUUAAUCAAGAACGAAAGUUAGGGGAUCGAAGACGAUCAGAUACCGUCGUAGCCUUAACCAUAAACUAUGCCGACUAGGAAUCGGAUGAUGUUAAUUUUUUAAUGACUCAUUCGGCGCCUUACG
rnacentral:rRNA from 1 species